GGACUACCCGGGUAUCUAAUCCUGUUUGCUCCCCACGCUUUCGCGCCUCAGCGUCAGUUACGGUCCAGAGAGCCGCCUUCGCCACCGGUGUUCUUCCCAAUAUCUACGAAUUUCACCUCUACACUGGGAAUUCCACUCUCCUCUCCCGUACUCCAGUCCUCGAGUAUCAAGCGCACCUCCCAGGUUGAGCCCGGGGCUUUCACGCCUGACUUCAAGGACCGCCUGCGCGCCCUUUACGCCCAGUAAUUCCGAACAACGCUCGCCCCCUUCGUAUUACCGCGGCUGCUGGCAC
rnacentral:rRNA from 1 species